rnacentral:lncRNA from 1 species
CCCGCACUUUGUGAUGGGGACAGCGUGUGCCAGCCUCCAGUUAGCGGCUGUGACAGGCCGCUGUGGAGCGCGAGCCUCAGCUCUCCCCUCCUGAGCUGCAGAGGCGACAAGGAACGCGCACCUCCGUGUCCCUGUCUAGACAGAAACCUCCAAAUCUAAGGAGAAAACAACCUGGUGGGUGCCUCAAGCCUGCACUGUCCAUGAGAACCGUCAGGGAAUGGAGCAGAGGAGAGCUGGACCAUCGAUGCUUGUAAAAGCUGCUGCUUAACUGGAGCGUGGGUGAGCUAAAAUUCACCUUAGACAUUGCUAGUUAAAAUAUCACUUCUUUCAUCUAAG